rnacentral:rRNA from 1 species
AGAGUUUGAUCAUGGCUCAGGACGAACGCUGGCGGCGUGCUUAACACAUGCAAGUCGAACGCUGAAGCACCAGCUUGCUGGUGUGGAUGAGUGGCGAACGGGUGAGUAAUACGUGAGUAACCCUGCCCUUGACUCUGGGAUAAGCCCGGGAAACUGGGUCUAAUACUGGAUGCUACAUGUCACCGCAUGGUGGUGUGUGGAAAGGGUUUACUGGUCUUGGAUGGGCUCACGGCCUAUCAGCUUGUUGGUGAGGUAAUGGCUCACCAAGGCGACGACGGGUAGCCGGCCUGAGAGGGUGACCGGCCACACUGGGACUGAGACACGGCCCAGACUCCUACGGGAGGCAGCAGUGGGGAAUAUUGCACAAUGGGCGAAAGCCUGAUGCAGCGACGCCGCGUGAGGGAUGACGGCCUUCGGGUUGUAAACCUCUUUCAGCAGGGAAGAAGCCACAAGUGACGGUACCUGCAGAAGAAGCGCCGGCUAACUACGUGCCAGCAGCCGCGGUAAUACGUAGGGCGCAAGCGUUGUCCGGAAUUAUUGGGCGUAAAGAGCUCGUAGGCGGUUUGUCGCGUCUGCUGUGAAAGCCCGGGGCUUAACCCCGGGUGUGCAGUGGGUACGGGCAGACUAGAGUGCAGUAGGGGAGACUGGAAUUCCUGGUGUAGCGGUGGAAUGCGCAGAUAUCAGGAGGAACACCGAUGGCGAAGGCAGGUCUCUGGGCUGUUACUGACGCUGAGGAGCGAAAGCAUGGGGAGCGAACAGGAUUAGAUACCCUGGUAGUCCAUGCCGUAAACGUUGGGCACUAGGUGUGGGGGACAUUCCACGUUUUCCGCGCCGUAGCUAACGCAUUAAGUGCCCCGCCUGGGGAGUACGGCCGCAAGGCUAAAACUCAAAGGAAUUGACGG